UCAGUCUGGAAACCUUCAAAGACAUAUAUUCAAUCCCUUUCCCUUUAAACUUAUCUCAAUGUUGUCAUUCUCUUCUACAAAGUUUAGGUAUUGUUACUGCACCGGACACAUCACGGAAACUAUGCCUGACAGGACCAAUGACCACAAGAUGCUGUAACUGUUAGCAAACUUGAAAACUGACAAAGCUGCAGGAACAGAUAAGAAGCCACUUGUUCUUUAACAACUUCGAGUUGGAUUGCUUCAAAUGUUGAAGCAUGGCUGCAAGGAAUGUUGCACCUGUGAGAACCAACGGCUGCAACUAGUUGAUGAAAUUGAAAGAAACAUCACAAAACACCAAAAAAAAAAAAUGAUCCAGGUCUAUGGGUUUGUGUUACAUCUGCAUGUCUGUUAGUCAGUCAGUCUCAUUCUGGUCAAGUCAGUAAGUUUGCGAUACAUGCAUGGAUUCUCAGAUAACUUGGAACAGAUUUUGUCGUUACAGUGACAGA